rnacentral:rRNA from 1 species
UACGAAGGGUGCAAGCGUUACUCGGAAUUACUGGGCGUAAAGGGUGCGUAGGUGGUUGUUUAAGUCUGUUGUGAAAGCCCCGGGCUCAACCUGGGAAUGGCAAUGGAUACUGGACAGCUAGAGUGCGGUAGAGGGUAGUGGAAUUCCCGGUGUAGCAGUGAAAUGCGUAGAGAUCGGGAGGAACACCAGUGGCGAAGGCGGGUCUCUGGACAGUUCCUGACGCUGAGGCACGAAGGUCAGGGGAGCAAACGGG